AAAAAUUAAAACAAUGACAUGUAGAUUUUGACAUUUUGUCAAUUAUAUAUUUACAUAUGAUUAGAUCUCAAUGAUAUAACUCAAAACCCCUCAAUUAUGGCAAAAAUGCUCCUGUUGCUCUGGUUACUUGUAGAUCUUCUCGUAUUCAUAAUCACAGUUGCACAAGAUGCGCAACCUGUAGGGGUGUGUUACGGAAGAGUCGGUGAUGAUUUGCCAUCGCAACAGGAUGUGGUGAACCUUUACAAGAUCAACAACAUAACCAGAAUGCGAAUUUAUGAUCCAGAUCGAGCUACACUUCAAGCCCUAAAAGGAACCAAUAUCGAACUCAUCAUCGGCGUUCCUAAUGAUUCUCUGCAAUCCCUAAACCAACAAAGCGCAGCGAACACAUGGGUUAGGAACAACAUUCAAAAUUACUCCGACGUCAGGUUUAGAUACGUCGCCGUCGGCAACGAAGUCGAUCCAAACAACGCGAAUAGUCAAUACGUAAGUUACGUACUUCCGGCGAUGCGAAAUCUACACAACGCCAUUACAGCCGCCGGCCUAGGGAACCAAAUCAAGGUGUCGACGGCAACCUACGCCGGUUUGUUAGGCGUCUCCUAUCCACCAAGCAACGGCGCGUUUAAUGACAAUGCACGAGAGUUUAUUGAGCCGAUAAUCAAAUUUCUAGCUGAAAACAACUCGCCAAUGCUUGUAAACAUCUACCCCUAUUUUGUAGACGCUAAUGGCAAUCUACUGUAUGCGUUGUUUUUGUCACCGGGAACAAUUGUGAGUGAUAACGGCCGGAACUACUCGAACCUCUUUGACGCCAUUUUAGAUGCUCAUUACGCAGCUCAAGCAUCUGUUGGUGGAGAAAAUGUGGAGAUUGUUGUGUCGGAGAGUGGGUGGCCAUCGGCAGGAGGUGAUGCGUGGACAUUUCAGACCGCAGAAACUUAUUAUACGAAUUUGAUUGCACAUGUCACAGGGAUAACAGGGACACCGGCGAAGCCUGGAAGAUCAAUAGAGACGUAUUUGUAUUCAAUGUUUGAUGAAGGAAUGAAACCUGGAGCAGAAUCGGAGAGACAUUUUGGGAUAUUCUAUCCAGAUAGACGACCCAAAUAUCAAUUAAGCUUCAACCUCAUCAAAUCAAGAAAUGGAAAGAUAAGUGAAAGAUAUGGACUUCUUUCUGCCUUCUCUGUACAAGGGUUUUGAGAAGAAGCAAAGUAUUCCAUAUAAUAAUGCGCCAAAUCUCAUUUAGGCGAGAAGAUGUGUACCAGAUAAUUCUUUGGAGCUCAUUCCUAUGAGCCGUAUCAGACUAUCUUCUUCAUAAGGUUACUACCGUUUGCAUUCCCUAUGCUGAUUGGUGUUGUUGACAAUAAUCUGGUUGUACAGAGAAGUAGAGAUGUAUAUUGAUAUUCAAUUGUGUGAGUACAAAGAGUACAAUGAAUAAAUAUAUAGUAGCUAAUGACACUUGUAUUCCUAAAUACAAGGUCCUAUACUAGGUCUUCAUAUUGAUUGAGAUUGAGUCACGUGUUAUACAUGUGUACAUCUUAGAUUACUUUAUCACCCCUGCAAGCUCAUGAGAGGGACGAACUUGAAGUUUGAGAUGAAUGACAACAAAGUGAUCCUUAGGAAGAGCUUUAGUGAAUAUAUCUGUCAAUUGGUCUUCCAAAGCAACAUUGGAAAUGGUGAGAUCUUGAGCUUCAACGUGUUCUCGAAUGAAAUGAAAAUCCAGGGCAAUGUGUUUGGAAUGUGUACUUACUACCGGAUUUUCGGUCAUGAAGAUUGCACAAACAUUGUCGCAUAAUAGUAAGGGAGGAUGAAUUACUAGAAUAUGUAACUCAGACAUAAGUUGUCUAACCCAUAUAAGUCCAGUGUAUGCCAAGGCCCUAUAUUGGGCUUCUGUACUAGCCCGUGUUGCUACCUUUUGUUUCCAAGAUGUCCAACUUAUAAGAUUGUUGCCAUGAUAAAUUGCAAACUUGUAUUGGGAGCGACUGUCCAAUCGGCAUCCAAGAAGGCUAGGUGUGAUGAUUUGCUUGAAGGUGAAAAAUGUAAACGGUGAUCAAGUGUACCAUUAAGAUACCUUAAGAUUUUUUUUCACUGCUAAUGAGUAGUUGUCCAGGAAUGCAUGUAUUGACAUACCCGAUUAACUGCAUAGGCAAUACCAUGGUGGGUAAUUGUAGCAUAUUGUAGAGAGCCAACAAGUCGUCAAUACAUUUUUGGAUCAGAAAAUAAAUUGUUCACCUUUUAGUGUUAGUCGGGAGUUCGAGUCGGUAGGUGUAGAUAUAUGCGUAGCAUUACCCAUUUGGCUUCGUUAAAUAAUAUCUCAAUUAUAACUCUCUUGACUAAGCAUUAGACCCAUGGAUUGUCUUUUGAUUUGAAUUCCAAGGAAAUAAUGCAAAUCACCAAGUCUUUGAGUGAAAAAAAUUGGUUAAGUUUGUUGAUGAACUGUUGAAUAAGCACCGUACCUAUGAAGAUCAAAGCAUCUACAUAAACAAUAAUAUAGAUCACAUCCAUGAUGGAGACAUGAACAAAUAAUGAAGUAUACGAUUGAUAUGCAUGAAAUCCUUUUAUGACAAGAUAAUUCUUUAGCUUAGUGAACCAAGCUCGAGGAGCUUGUUUGAUCCCAUAGAUAGCCUUAUGUAGUCGACACACAAGAGUUGGACUGUUGGGGUCUUGGAACCUGGAAGGUUAUUUCAUAUAAACAUUUUAUUUCAAGUCACCAGAGGAAAGCGUUGUUGAUAUCCAAUUGACAAAUGCACCAACCAUUUGAAAUAACAAUAGAUAGAACUAUUCGGAUGGCAAUGGGUUUAAUGAAUGGACUGAAAGUCUCAAAGUAAUCGACCCCUUCCUCUUGACUGUAACAUUGUGCUACUAAUCUCUCCUUAUAGCGUUUAAUUGUACCAUCCGAUUUUCGCUUGAUCCAGUAAAUCCAUUUUCAACCUACAAGAUUCAUAUUAGGUGGACAAGUAACAAGUGACCAUGUGUUAUUUCCCAUUAGUGCAUCAUAUUAAAGUUGCAUAGCUUGUUGCCAACCGGUGUGCUUAAUGGCUUGUUUAAAAGUAUGAGGCUCAAUUCAAAGAUCAUACAAAACAGAGGUGGAAAAAGCUUUGGGUUUUAAGGAGUUUGUACAAGCUCUAGUGAUCAUGGGAUGCUGACUCGAGUCAACAGAUCGAUAGUAUGCAGGAGAUAUGUCACGUUGUCUUGCUCAUGAGCUAGCAGUAGGUGUUUGAUGGUGAGGAGUAAGAAAAGAGAUGACGGUUGGAGUGGUGGAAGGUGAGGAAGUUGGGUGCUAUUAGAAGGCGGAGUAGGUGAAGGGUUAUCAGAGUAGGUGAAGGGUUAUCAGAGUUGGUGGAAGAUAUAAUGGUAACUUGUUGUGAAAGAUUGGUGGAUACUAAAGUGGAGGGAGUGGGAGAGACGGUGGGUGACAAAAGAGUAUUCUUAGAGUAUAGAAAUACAUCUUCAUUAAAGAUGACAUGACGGGCAACGUAAAUGCGAGAAAAGGGAGUAUGGAAACAUAUGUAGCCUUUGUGAGUAGCACUGUAGCUGAGGAAUACACAAGGUAAGGAGUGAAAAUCAAUAUUAUGAUUGUUGUAUGGACAGAGAAAUGGAUAACACAAGAAGUCGAAAGUCUUUAUAAAUGCAUAAUUUGGGACUUUGGAGUAUAGCUUUUGAUAUGGGGACAAAAAAGUAAGGACGUGAGUGAUAUGUCUAUUGUGGAGAUAUGUUGCGGUUUUGAAAGCAUGCUCCCUAAAGGUGUGACGGAGAAAUGAUUGUGCUAAAAGAGUGAGCCCUUUUUCAAUUAUGAUGCAAUUUUUGCAGUUAACCGCACCAUUUUGCUCUUGCAUAUAAGGAUAUGAUACACGAUGGAUAAUACCGUGAGAUGAAAGAUAUUUGGAAACAUUUCUAUACUCUUCACCCCAGUCGGUUUGUAGGCUUUGUAUUUCGCUGUUAAAUGGAGUUUGAACCAUUUUUCGAAAUUUCACAAAGGUAUGAAAUACUUGAGAUUUAUGAGAUAAAAAGUAAAUCUAAACGGAUUUAGUGCAAUCAUCAACAAACAAAACGAGAUAACGAUUUCCAUUAAUAAAAAAAUGGGAGAUGGCCCGUUGUAGUUGAAAUGGUUUUGUAGAAGAAAGAUGAGAAUUAUUUAAAUGUAAACGAUGACUUUUGCCUUAUUGACAAGAGUCACAAACAAAAGGAAAGUGAUUGGAAGAAGUAGGCAGCUUGAAUAAGGAGAGAAGACGCUUUAGAAGUGGUGCAUGAGGAUGAGCUAACCACUUGUGCCAACCACGAAGAGUGGUGUGAACUCAUAUGAAAGCCAUGCUGGGUGUUUUUUUAUUUGUGGUGGAAAGGAUACAGUUGAGACCUUGGUCAACGUUCCCUUGGAGGAUUGUUUUGCCUUACAAAGACUUAACAUUGUCAUGAGAUGGCCAAAACUCUAGAUAUACAUCAUUAUCCUCGGUUAUUUUAGAAACACUCAAAGAUGUUUUGUCAUUUGUGGAACUAUAAGCACAAAUGGCAACUUAAUAGAAUGCAAAUAAGAUGAAGCAAUGUGAGAAAUAACAGGGUAAGUAUUGUUACCGACUUAAAGCUUGUGAGGACCAUAUUAUUCAUCUGCAACAUUCAUCUUUUGAAGGUCUGGGGCUACAUGAUCUAUGGCCCUUGUAUUGAAGUACCAAGAUGGAUUAACCACUGUGAAGCGACUCUUGUGGUAAACAAGGUUAGCUUGUCGAGAUUGGUCUCUUGGAUUUGGUCGUCGAGAGGGGUAAUCAGUCUGAUUGGAGUGUUGCCAUCAAUCCACUGCCUCAUGCCCUGGUUUCGAGCACAACUUUUGAGGACGACGACAAUGGUAUUCAUUUGAGUGAAACAUAGAACCGGUGUUAGAGGAGGACCCAUAGCCCGUAGAAGGAGAUCGAUAUUGAUGUUGAUUGACGUUGAGAUCAAGUGGAAUCGAAGAGGUGGGAAGCGAAGGUGAAGUGACUGGUGAUUGACGAAGAUGUCCAUAUUCCAAGCGAGCUUCCUCCUGUAGAAGCAUACCAACGAGGUCAUCAAUAGAAGUUUGAUCGUCUUUGACCAUGAAGGUUGUGAUAAAAGGGACAUAUUACGUGUCAAGUCCACCAAGAAUGUGACCGAUUAAAUCUUCAAGAUGAAAUGGGAUGAAGAUUUUCAGCCAAAGAAUCAGUUAUGGCGCGUUUCCGUUCCACAUAUUCGAGCAUGGAGAGGGAACCCUUGGAAAUCGACUGAAGAUCAGAUUUCAUAGACAUGUGGCAAGCCUUAGUUUGGGCCAAAUUUUUUUUCUCAAUGGCAAUCCAAGACUGACGAAAAGAAGAGGAACGAGCAACAAUUGCUAGGGCUCGUUCAGAAAGGUUGGAUUUUAUCCAAAGUAAAGCAAAUUGAUCCCUUUUUCUAGAGAGUAAAUUCAAGGUAAGGUUAGGUGAUGUGAUAGGAGGGCCUUCGGUGGGGGAGAUGGUGGCGGUCUCUGAUGGAGGAUGUCACAACUAGAAAUUUUUGGUGCCUUGUAACUACAACACUUAUGUCAAUUAUUAAUCAAAAACAUGAAAGCAUGCAUGAUGCUUACUUUAUGACAACAAAAUUUCAAUUAAACACUUCAUACAAGCACUGCAAAUAGUCAACAAACAGUUGGAAACCUUAAAAAUCCUUGUUUAAGUCCAUUUUGGAUUAGGAUUUCCUUAUUGGGCCCAAUGGACCAAUAAGCUUCCAAUUGGAAUAUCAUGGGCUCUAAUUGGACCCACUUUCAUUCAUUUUAAUAUUUUGGGCCAUAUUGGGCCUAGAAUGAAACAAAAUAUUUAAAUGGACCUUAUUGGGCCAUAAUUAACUUAAUUUAGCCCUAAUAGGUUAUAAAAAAAAUCAUAUUUAUAUUUAUUUGGGCCAAACAUCACAUAACAUAACCAUGAAAUAGGCUUAAACAAUAACAGUUGUACUAUUUCAAUGCAUGGUGAUGAAUGAUGUUAUGAUUCAUAUAUAAUCAUUGUGAUGAUAUUCAAUUUAAGUCACAAGAGCCCUCAGACGUUUCCGUCGUUCGGUUCGGGGGUGUGACAGAGGAUUUAGAGCAAUAACGAAGGUCUCUAAUUAGAACGUUUCGAAAACGGAGAUAACAGUGGAUCGCCAUAGGGAGUAGUUGUCUCUAUCGAGUUUGAUGUUGAGAGACGGAAUCUGGAAAUUAAAGGAAGAGUUGGUAGCAAGUCCGAGCAAGAGAGAAUUGGUAGCCAUAAACAAAAGAUGAGGUAAAAAAAACUUUAAUCGGCUCUUCAUACCAUAUUACAGAGAAGUAGAGAUGUAUAUUGUUAUUCUGUGAGUUCAGAGAGUAUAAUAGAGUAUAAUGAAUACAUAUAUAGUAGCUAAUGACAAUUGUAAUCCUAAAUAUAAUGCCCUAUAUUAGAUCUUCAAGAUUAACUAAGAUUGAACCAAAAGGUCUUUGGCCUAACGGUAAAGAGUGACUCUCUCAAAUGAGAUAUCAUAGGUUCAAGUAUCUCUAGGAGACAUAGGUGGUAUUUGGAAGUAAGUUAGUUUACCGAUUCAAAAAAAUAUUUACUGAGAUUGAUUCACCUGUUAUACAUGUGUACGUACAUCUUAAAUUACAUGUAUACAUCUAAGAUGUGGAGAAAUGAAGAAUUGUUACUGGUGGUUGUGUAUACAUGGUGGAGUGAUUGGCUUAUAACCAAUAGUUGAGGAUCAUAUUCUAUAGACUCCUUAUAAUUAGCAUAAUUUGUUGUAUCAUGUAUCCUUUUAGUGCUAAAUUUGAUAAAGAAACAUUUGAUGCAACUAUAAUUUUCUUGAUCAAUUUUCAAAGAUUUUGCCAAGAUAUGUUGUGUGCACGGAACAUUAACACAAAAUAUAAGGAUUUUUGUUUUGAAGGUAAAUCUAAGCAAUUAUGACUCGGAUAUAUAGAAGAGAAACAAAAAAAUCAAGUAUCAUUUGAAAUAAAAAAGAAGGAAGAGUUUUUGUAUAACAUAUUUUUUGAAGUGUUUGACUAUAUGAAGAUUAAUCUCUAUGCAAUAUUAUAGUUAAUUAUAUUUGUUUGACAUUUACUUAUUUUUGGGGGUGUUUGGAUAGGUAAAAAAUAGGUUGCUUAUUGCUUAUUCUCACCACAAUAAGCAAAGUUUAAGUAUUUGGAUAAGAACCUUUAAAAAUCAGCUUAUUAUGGUAGGAAUAAACUAAAUAAGCUGAUUUUAAUAAGAAAGGGGGAUGCUUAUUGCUUAUUUUUAAUGAUUUGAAAAUUUACCAAAUUACCCUAAAAAACCAAUACGUAACCCAUAAACCCUUUGUCGAUCACCAAAUCCUUCACAGCAGUUCUGUCGUUCGCUAUUCCUGCUCGUUGUUUGCCAUCGACGACCUGGAAGCAAUCGACGAUCAAGUCAGGUUUGCGUAUUCUUUUUUUUCGCCUUGUAUCAAUCGACUAGAUGAUUUGUUCUUGUUUUUUUUCGUCUGGAAGCAAUUGGAACCCUUCUCGAUCAACAAAUAUGCUUUUUUUCCUCAUGCAUAAUCGACGAGUUAUUGAGGCUAUUUGUUUCGUCAUGCAUAAUCGACGAGCAAUGGACAUACAUGGACGAUUGCUUCUUUUUUUCUUCAUCCUUGAUUGUUCUUGUUACAGAAAAUUCAAAAGUUUCUUUUGAUUGCUAUUGAUGCUAUUUGUAUUUUGCUUCUAACUUUUGCUGCUACAGAAUAUUCAGAAUUAUCUUUGAUUGCUAUUGAUGUUACAUGUUUUUUUGCUUCUACUUGUAUGCAUUUUUGUUUGCUAUUCAUGCUACAUGUUUUUGUUUUUUUUCUUCUUUUGAUUCAACAUUAUGGUGAAAAUUCAAAAUUUUCUUCAUUCAAUAUCAUGAUUUAUAAGUAAUGGACACUGUCGAUGUUCAUGAUGUGGAUAUUGAUACAUCCAAAGUGAAAGUUACAAAUAGAUUUCAUUGGGAUCCUCAUACAUUCAAGAUACAUCUUGAGGAAUGUAUGACCGAGCUAAAAAACGGGAAUAGACCGAAUACUUAUUUCAAUAAGUCCGCGUGCCAAAAUAUAUGUAAGAGGAUUUUGGAACGAACCGAUAAAGAUUUGGACAUACAUCAAAUGAAAAACAAAUGAGACAUUAUGCAGAAAGAGUUCAAAUAUUAUGACCGUUUAACAAGAUUAGAAACGAGAAUUUCAACUGAUCCCGUGAGAAAUAUAAUCUUGGCAUCAAAGGAAUUGCGGGAUGAGAAAAUAAAGGAAGAUAAAGAGCAUGCUAAGUUUAAGGAUACGAAUUUGGAUGUAAAUCAGAUAUAUUACGAGGCUUUAUUUCGGGAUACCGUAGUUGUUGGAGACAAGGCUAAGGUACCUUGCGAAUUUGGCGACGGUAGCACUCCGGAUGAUGUACAAUUUGUGGAUAUUACGGAUGGAAAAGAGGAUACUGACGAUGUCUGGUUAUUUGAUGAUGUUGAUCCUUUUCUCACAUAUAAUAGUUCUAGUAAGAAAAUGAGGGAAAAGAAGUUAACUCCCAGGUAUGACCACAAAAGGAAAUUUGAAGGAAAAAGUAUGGCAAACUCGUCAUAUGAAGAGAAACUAGACACUGUUUUUGAUGUUUUGUUAACAAUGAGCACUCAGCCCUCAAGACAAACCACACAGUCACCGACAACAGAAGAUUGCAUGGCAAUUGUGUCUACUUUCCCGGGUUUUGAGGAAGGCUCAAUAGGAUAUUUAAAAGCGUUAGAUGUCUUUUUAAAGAAGCCAACUCGUCAGAAUUUUAUGGUUCCAAAGACUAAUGAAACAAAGAUGAAGUUUCUCAAAAGGCUUAUAGAGAAAUAGAAGUAGUUGAAGACAUACUCUACUUUUAUGUCAUGUGUUAGUUUCAUGUUUGUUUUGUGGUCAAAUUUUGCCCUUACCCCAUGAUUUUGCUUUUGUUUCCCUUUCCAUGAUUUUAUCUAUUAGUUUGACUUUAAA